AUUAUGGAGAGUUUGAUCCUGGCUCAGAAUGAACGCUGGCGGCGUGCUUAACACAUGCAAGUCGAACGAGAACGGUCCUAGCUUGCUAGGAUGUCAGCUAAGUGGCGCACGGGUGAGUAAUGUAUAGGUAAUCUGCCCCGAAGAGCGGGAUAACGUCUGGAAACGGACGCUAAUACUGCAUAUACCUUUUCCCCUCAAGGGGAAAAGGGAAAUGAAUUUCGCUUCGGGAUGAGCCUUUAUUGUAUCAGCUAGUUGGUGAGGUAAUGGCUCACCAAGGCUAUGACGGGUAGGGGAGGUGAGAGCCUGUUCCCCAACGUGGGUACUGAGAUACGGACCUGACACCUACGGGUGGCCGCAGUCGAGGAUCUGUCCUGUUUUACUCUCUGUUUUUAA
rnacentral:rRNA from 1 species